rnacentral:snRNA from 1 species
GGAUAUGAGGGCAAUCUAGUUGAGACAUCUGUCACCCCACUGACAGCCAGGAUUGUUUCAAGCGACCUCACUAGCUGGGAGGGUGUCCUCCUCACCUUCCUCACUGUUCCACGUGCAUACCCUCCUGAAGCUCCAUGUUCAAUAGAAAAGAAUAACCUCCCCAAAAAGAGGAAGACGAUUCUUCAGCCAUGAGUAUUCGAGUGGCUGCGUGUCCCUACUAGAAUUUCCAGAAGAGAAGUUGUUGCUGCAUUUUAAAUUUUUUAAUCUAUUUAGCUACAAAAUUCUAAACUAUCUUA